GAUGAACGCUGGCGGCGUGCUUAACACAUGCAAGUCGAACGAGAGAAGAUCGGUGCUUGCACUGAUCCGAUCGAGUGGCGGACGGGUGAGUAACGCGUGGGUAACCUGCCUCAUACAGGGGAAUAACAGAUGGAAACGGCUGCUAAAACCGCAUAAGCGCAAAGUAUCGCAUGAUACCGUGUGAAAAACUCCGGUGGUAUGAGAUGGACCCGCGUCUGAUUAGCUAGUUGGUGAGGUAACGGCCCACAAAGGCAACGAUCAGGAGCCGGCCUGAGAGGGUGAACGGCCACAUUGGGACUGAGACACGGCCCAAACUCCUACGGGAGGCAGCAGUGGGGAAUAUUGCACAAUGGGGGAAACCCUGAUGCAGCGACGCCGUGUGAGUGAUGAAGUAUUUCGGUAUGUAAAGCUCUAUCAGCAGGGAAGAUAAUGACGGUACCUGACUAAGAAGCACCGGCUAAAUACGUGCCAGCCGCCGCAGUAA
rnacentral:rRNA from 1 species